AGCGGCCGUAGCAAUACGGAGUGGCGGACGGGUGAGUAACACGUGGGAACGUGCCCAAAGGUACGGAACAACUUCGGGAAACUGGAGCUAAUACCGUAUGUGCCCGAAAGGGGAAAGAUUUAUCGCCUUUGGAUCGGCCCGCGUCUGAUUAGCUAGUUGGCGGUGUAAUGGACCACCAAGGCGACGAUCAGUAGCUGGUCUGAGAGGAUGACCAGCCACACUGGGACUGAGACACGGCCCAGACUCCUACGGGAGGCAGCAGUAGGGAAUAUUGGACAAUGGGCGAAAGCCUGAUCCAGCCAUGCCGCGUGAGUGAUGAAGGCCUUAGGGUUGUAAAGCUCUUUCGCCAGGGACGAUAAUGACGGUACCUGGAUAAGAAGCCCCGGCUAACUUCGUGCCAGCAGCCGCGGUAAUACGAAGGGGGCUAGCGUUGUUCGGAAUUACUGGGCGUAAAGCGUAUGCAGGCGGACUUUUAAGUCGGGGGUGAAAUCCCGAGGCUCAACCUCGGAACUGCCUUCGAUACUGAAAGUCUUGAGUCCGGGAGAGGUGAGUGGAACUGCGAGUGUAGAGGUGAAAUUCGUAGAUAUUCGCAAGAACACCAGUGGCGAAGGCGGCUCACUGGCCCGGUACUGACGUUGAGAUACGAA
rnacentral:rRNA from 1 species